CACCUCUCAGAUUCUACUUUUGUAGCCCGUCACGGUCGCCGCAAGGCGAGGGAGUCAUGACAGACUUAUAUUUAAUAUAAACGUGGUAAAGCCGUACCUGAGCACGUCUGAUGUCAUGU
rnacentral:ncRNA from 1 species